rnacentral:lncRNA from 1 species
UUCAAGCUAUUUUCUUUCCAUUUCUUUGCCUAAAAUCCUUCAUCGACAUCCUAUGAACGUGUUUGAAGCAUUGCCUUGGUUUGAAUCCUUCUGCAACCUAGCUUCCUGAUCCACCAUUAUUGACUUCUGAAGCUUCAUUCGAACAUGUAGAUACGAGUUACAACCUUGAGCAAACAAGUUACCACACUCUUCGCCUUGUUCCACUGAUCAAAAGCCCUUUCUUACUUGUCAUUUAUUUUUAGUAUUCACCAUUU